AGUAAUUGUGCAUAGGUAUAUAAUGAAAAGCCAUCUUCAGGCUUGGCUGUGAGUCUGUAUAGAGUCUAGGCAAGUUCCAUGGCUUGCUUGUUAUUUC